UCACAGUUUAUUCUUCGGUCACAAAUAAAAAAAUUAAUUAAUCACGGAUUAAUUUUUAGUCACAACUUAUCAAAUUAUUGGUCACAGCUUACUUUUCGAUCACAAAACAAAAAAUUUAAGGUCACAAAUUGCGUUUAUGGUCACAAUUCAAAAAUUUUGUAAGUCACGAUUUGUUUGUCACAGAUAAAAAAUUUAUACGUUAUAAGUUAUUUAUAAGUCACAGAUAACAACUAUUACAAGUCACGGAUUAAUUUUUUUUUUUUUAGGUCACACACUAUUCUUGGUCACAAUUUAUCUUUUUAGUGGUCACAUAUUGUUUAUUAGUCAAUGGUUAAUCAAUUUAAUAGUCACAAUCAAUUAAAUAAUCUAUGACCAUCAACAAACCUCCGUUACCUCUACAGCACCACCACCACAACCACACCAACACCAUUGUCACCAUCGCAGCACCACAACCAUCACCACUACCAUCUCACCAUCAUGGCAGACCAACCACAGAACUCCACAAAUCCACCACACAACCACUAAUCCACCACAAAAUCGUUCCCACAGAACCAUUCCCACAAAUCCACACAACCACCGUCCCCACCACAGAACCGCACGCCUCCACCACCACUGCUCAUCACCACUCACCCAACCACCACAUCACCGUUGCACCUACAACAACCCAGUAUGGCAAUACCCUAUUACCACCACAAUUCACACUAUACCGCCACCACCCCCAACGAAACCAUUACAUUGUUCCACUCCAAAGAAUCGAAGCGGGUGCAAACCACUGCUUGGCAUCCCUGCCCUUCCAAAUUCACCACCGUCGCGCAAUCAACGCCCGUAGCACCUCCACUGCUUCACAUCGCAACGAAUCGAGGCGAUUGCAAACCACCUCUUCACAUCGCUGCCAGAUCGCUUCAGCCAUCGGGCGAGGGACUUGCACCAACCACAUCUUCACAUCGCGACGAAGCUGGAUUGGUCUAUCGCAGGAGUUCGUAGCCGACAUAAGUGUUGAUGUAGAGAGAGAUGUAGGACAGCCUCUUGGGUAGAGAGAGAGAGUGAAGUGUUUAUGAAGAUGAUUAGGGUUUGUAAUGUAUAUAAUGG
rnacentral:lncRNA from 1 species